CCAACGUGACUAUUCAAGGGGAUUCCUGUGAGCACUGUCCACGUGGCACCAACUAGCAGGGCUCUGCCUCGUGAUUUAUAGACCCUUUCCUCACGUUGGCGAUCAAGCUGGGCCUUGAGUCUGCGCCUGCUUAUUUUUACAGCUCUCAGAGUCCUCUAGAUGACUGAGGAAACAAACCAUUCAGGAAACAUUC
rnacentral:snoRNA from 1 species